GCCCGAAGGAGACCCCGUUCUCGGUCCGCUCCCUGGUGCGGGGCGGAGGGCUGUGCCUCAGCGGCCCGCGGGCUCC
rnacentral:tRNA from 1 species